AUGGCCCGCCUCGCUCUCCGGCGCUUUCCGCCGCCGAUGCUUCUCCUUCUCCUCGCCCUCUUCCUCGUCGCGGCGGCGGCGGCAGGGAAGGGAAAGAAGAGGGGCGGCGGCGGGCUGCGGUUCCGGCGGGAGGGCGGCACGUUCAAGGUGCUGCAGGUGGCGGACAUGCACUACGCGGACGGGCGGAGCACCGCGUGCGAGGACGUGCUGCCCGAGCAGGUCGCCGGCUGCUCCGACCUCAACACCACCGCCUUCCUCUACCGCGUCAUCCGCGCCGAGGACCCAGACCUCGUCGUCUUCACAGGUGAUAACAUCUACGGCGCGGAUUCAACCGAUGCGGCCAAAUCGAUGGACGCGGCGAUCGCUCCAGCCAUCGCCAUGAACCUUCCCUGGGCUGCUGGGAUUGGUAACCAUGACCAGGAGGGUACCCUGUCACGGGAGGGCGUGAUGCGACACCUUGUGGGCAUGAAGAACACUCUUUCACGCUUCAAUCCUGAAGGAGUAGAAAUCGAUGGCUUCGGCAAUUAUAAUCUGGAAGUUGGUGGGGUUGAAGGAACACUGCUGGCUAACAAAUCAGUGCUCAACAUGUAUUUUCUUGACAGUGGUGACUAUUCUACCGUGCCAUCCAUCCCUGGUUACGGUUGGAUCAAGGCUUCCCAGGAAGCUUGGUUCCAGAAAACGUCUUCGAGUCUCCAGAAAAACUACACGAGUCAACAACCCAGCCAGAAGGAGCCAGCACCUGCUCUUGCAUACUUCCACAUUCCAUUGCCGGAGUUCAGCAGUUUCACAGAAUCCAAUUUCACAGGAGUGAAGCAGGAGGGUAUCAGCUCACCAUCAAUCAACUCAGGCUUCUUUACCACCAUGGUGGAAGCCGGAGAUGUGAAGGCUGCCUUUAUAGGACAUGAUCACAUAAAUGACUUCUGUGGGAAGCUCACUGGAAUUCAGCUGUGCUACGCCGGUGGGUUCGGUUACCACGCGUAUGGGAAGGCCGGGUGGUCGAGGAGAGCAAGGGUGGUGUCUGUGCAGCUUGAGAAGACAGUGACCGGCGAGUGGCAAGACGUAAAGUCUAUCAAGACAUGGAAGAGGCUUGACGAUCAACACCUCACCACGAUUGACUCCGAGGUCCUGUGGAACAAAGGCUCUAAUGGGAGGGGCAGGAAGGAUCAUGACAGAAGCUGA
rnacentral:rRNA from 1 species